AGGGAGGAGAAAGUUAUCAUGAAGACAAGGCAGGAAUUUUCUGGCAGUACCAUGCUUAACACAGUUGCUCUCCCAACAGAUGUCAGGAAUUGGUAAUAUCCACUCUUCCCACCUGGUGAGCUCCAGAUUGUCGUAGAAGUGUGUGGAAUUACACUAACGAAAAUUGAAAAAAAAAAGAUACUUG